rnacentral:rRNA from 1 species
GAUGAACGCUGGCGGCGUGCCUAAUACAUGCAAGUCGAGCGAACGGACGAGAAGCUUGCUUCUCUGAUGUUAGCGGCGGACGGGUGAGUAACACGUGGAUAACCUACCUAUAAGGCUGGGAUAACUUCGGGAAACCGUAGCUAAUACCGGAUAAUAUUUUGAACCGCAUGGUUCAAAAGUGAAAGACGGUCUUGCUGUCACUUAUAGAUGGAUCCGCGCUGCAUUAGCUAGUUGGUAAGGUAACGGCUUACCAAGGCAACGAUGCAUAGCCGACCUGAGAGGGUGAUCGGCCACACUGGAACUGAGACACGGUCCAGACUCCUACGGGAGGCAGCAGUAGGGAAUCUUCCGCAAUGGGCGAAAGCCUGACGGAGCAACGCCGCGUGAGUGAUGAAGGUCUUCGGAUCGUAAAACUCUGUUAUUAGGGAAGAACAUAUGUGUAAGUAACUGUGCACAUCUUGACGGUACCUAAUCAGAAAGCCACGGCUAACUACGU